GGUGAAAAGCACCCCGGAAGGGGAGUGAAAUAGAACCUGAAACCGUGUGCUUACAAGUAGUCAGAGCCCGUUAAUGGGUGAUGGCGUGCCUUUUGUAGAAUGAACCGGCGAGUUACGAUUUGAUGCAAGGUUAAGCAGUAAAUGUGGAGCCGUAGCGAAAGCGAGUCUGAAUAGGGCGUUUAGUAUUUGGUCGUAGACCCGAAACCAGGUGAUCUACCCUUGGUCAGGUUGAAGUUCAGGUAACACUGAAUGGAGGACCGAACCGACUUACGUUGAAAAGUGAGCGGAUGAACUGAGGGUAGCGGAGAAAUUCCAAUCGAACCUGGAGAUAGCUGGUUCUCUCCGAAAUAGCUUUAGGGCUAGCCUCAAGUGAUGAUUAUUGGAGGUAGAGCACUGUUUGGACGAGGGGCCCCUCUCGGGUUACCGAAUUCAGACAAACUCCGAAUGCCAAUUAAUUUAACUUGGGAGUCAGAACAUGGGUGAUAAGGUCCGUGUUCGAAAGGGAAACAGCCCAGACCACCAGCUAAGGUCCCAAAAUAUAUGUUAAGUGGAAAAGGAUGUGGCGUUGCCCAGACAACUAGGAUGUUGGCUUAGAAGCAGCCAUCAUUUAAAGAGUGCGUAAUAGCUC
rnacentral:rRNA from 1 species